rnacentral:lncRNA from 1 species
AUCAUUUCUGGGCUUAUUCUCUGGCCAACACUCAGCCACAUGGCCACACCCAAGUGCAAGGGAGGCUGGAAAAGGUAAUCUAGCUCUGGGACCAAGAAGAAAGAGAAGCAGGAUUUGGAAAACCCAUGGGACUCUCUGUGAAAUACACCAUUUCCCCAAUCCCACACCAGGAAACAUGACUUCAGACAGGAUCCCAGAAGUUUUCAGGUGGCAGUUGAACAGGAGCCCAGCUGCAGUGGGGGAUCUGGGAGGCAGAAGAAGCUAGAAGUGAAGACUACUCACUUCCAACCUCAAUGUGGACAGGAGCGCUGUCUGAGCCUACUCAUAGUCUCAUUUACCCCUGCAAAAGAAGUAACAUACGGAACCCUGUGAAUUAGGCUGACUUCAUCCUGGAAUCACAGCGGGGCUUAAGGUCCCAGACCGCCAGCAGUAUGGAGAAUGGAGCCAGUAGUGGUGAUUUCUCCAUUUUUGCCUCUUCGUGAGCCUCACCAGCCCAGGCAUGAUGCUCUUUUCCACGUCCUAGGACUUCCCACUCUGACACAGGUCACCCAGUUCAGGAACCUACUCCUCCACACAUCCAUCGGGGGCUCUGUCAACAGCCCCCGAAGCAGGUGCAGACCUGGAAGACUCCGUUUCAUGCUCUGGCACUUCGGCUCCACACUUAUUUUCUACCUUGCUGCUGCAGCUACUGUUCUCCCUUGUGCUCUCUGAAACCACUGCUGACAGAUCCUGAGUGGCCCCUGGCAAACAGGGUUCCUGGAGUGACACAUGGGGAAAAAUACAGAACAUAAUUUGAUUUUCCCAUGGCAUCUCGCAAUGUCUCACAUAUGACUACAUUUGGUCUGUGAAUGUUACUGAGCACUGUGACUAACUGUGACUGAGCCCACUAAAGGACACUUCAGAGGGUGUCUGUGAAGGAUGCAUGGGAGGGGGCAUCAGGGAAGAUGGAGAAGGCUGGACAAAGACCCAGUGGACUACAAGCUGCCAUCCCCUGGGAAACUUUCAGAACAUUCACUAUGCACCAGACAGUGUAUAAAACACAUUGCAUGCGAUAUGUAUAUCAACACAUAAAACCAAAAUGUCAUCCUUCAGAUACGCUCAGGAAAGAGACGCUUUCCCCUUGUUAAGGAUGAGGAAGCUAAAGCGUGGGCAGUUUGUUUAACUUGACAAAGGAUACACCGUUGGUUAAGAGCCAGGAUCUAAACCCAAGUCUAUCACCCUCCAGCCCUGUGCUAACCACAACCCCUGCCUCCUGUCUUUGGGGAAGGAUUUCAAGUUCAGUUUAGCUAGACUUUAAUAUGCACCGUGAGCAGUG